GAUCCUGGCUCAGGAUGAACGCUGGCGGCGCGCCUAACACAUGCAAGUCGAACGGCACCCCUCUCCGGAGGGAAGCGAGUGGCGAACGGCUGAGUAACACGUGGAGAACCUGCCCCCCUCCCCCCGGGAUAGCCGCCCGAAAGGACGGGUAAUACCGGAUACCCCCGGGCGCCGCAUGGCGCCCGGGCUAAAGCCCCGACGGGAGGGGAUGGCUCCGCGGCCCAUCAGGUAGACGGCGGGGUGACGGCCCACCGUGCCGACAACGGGUAGCCGGGUUGAG
rnacentral:rRNA from 1 species